rnacentral:rRNA from 1 species
AAUCAUAGUACCUGUGAAGAUGCAGGUUACCCGCGACAGGACGGAAAGACCCCGUGGAGCUUUACUGUAGCCUGAUAUUGAAAUUCGGCACAGCUUGUACAGGAUAGGUAGGAGCCUUUGAAACGUGAGCGCUAGCUUACGUGGAGGCGCUGGUGGGAUACUACCCUAGCUGUGUUGGCUUUCUAACCCGCACCACUUAUCGUGGUGGGAGACAGUGUCAGGCGGGCAGUUUGACUGGGGCGGUCGCCUCCUAAAAGGUAACGGAGGCGCUCAAAGGUUCCCUCAGAAUGGUUGGAAAUCAUUCAUAGAGUGUAAAGGCAUAAGGGAGCUUGACUGCGAGACCUACAA